UACAGAGGGGGCAAGCGUUAUUCGGAAUUACUGGGCGUAAAGGGCUCGUAGGCGGCCAACUAAGUCGGACGUGAAAUCCCCAGGCUCAACCUGGGAACUGCGUCCGAUACUGGAUGGCUUGAAUCCGGGAGAGGGAUGCAGAAUUCCAGGUGUAGCGGUGAAAUGCGUAGAUAUCUGGAGGAACACCGGUGGCGAAGGCGGCAUCCUGGACCGGUAUUGACGCUGAGGCGCGAAAGCGUGGGGAGCAAACAGG
rnacentral:rRNA from 1 species